GACGAACGCUGGCGGCGUGCUUAACACAUGCAAGUCGAACGGAAAGGCCCUGCUUUUGUGGGGUGCUCGAGUGGCGAACGGGUGAGUAACACGUGAGUAACCUGCCCUUGACUUUGGGAUAACUUCAGGAAACUGGGGCUAAUACCGGAUAGGAGCUCCUGCUGCAUGGUGGGGGUUGGAAAGUUUCGGCGGUUGGGGAUGGACUCGCGGCUUAUCAGCUUGUUGGUGGGGUAGUGGCUUACCAAGGCUUUGACGGGUAGCCGGCCUGAGAGGGUGACCGGCCACAUUGGGACUGAGGUAAGGACCAGCCUCGAACGGGAGGCAACGGUGGGGAGUAUUAUACAGUGGUAGGGAGCCUGAUGCGACAACGCCGGGUGCGGGAAGACGGCCUUGGGGUUGUGAACCGCAGCCGCCUGUGACGAAGCGUGAGUGACGGUAAUGGGAGAAGAAGCACCGGCUAACUACGUG
rnacentral:rRNA from 1 species